GAAUAUAUCAGAAAUCUAAACUUAGCCAACUCUCCCACAGGUCAGUACAUAGCAAUUUAUAUAAUUUGGGGGAAAGACAAAAGGUAACAGUUUGAACAGAGAAUCUAAAUCAUAUAAAGCAGUUGGAUAUUAUAUCUAUAGGUAUGUGUUUGAAUAUGUUUAUUUCUGGUCAUCCUCUGCUAUAACCCUGAUACUGGCUUUCAGAAGAGACAAUUCAGCCAAUCUAUAUGUUGCAUCAUUUUUAAUCACCUACUAGAUACUGUAGUAAAAAUGAUUGGGCAUUUAAUUGCUUUAAGAAUAUUCAUUCAUUGAUGUGUUUACUCACUUAUGCUCAUUCUUGUUCCAAAAAGGAUCUGAGGAGACCCCCAAAGAUAUAAAUGAUAGAUGAACAACUAAAAUUUAGAAAGAGAUGGGAAUCAAAGAAAAGGGAAUUAAGGGUAGGAAAGUGAGAGGAAGCUAUUCGCUCUUAAAAAAUCCAUGAAACAGAAGAUGUACACCUUCCUGGCAGAGAGAGCUCCUAGUGUGAAAGAUUUUUUUCAGAAAUGUUCUGACUUGUAAAGUAUGAGGUAUUUGAACUGAGUGUGGAGUUGGUGGCAAAAAUAUUGUACUCUUUUACUAGGUCAUGACCCCCCAAAAUGGACAGGAGAGCUCGUAUACAAACAAGAUCCCCAUAGGAACGUGAUGGCCAGAAGACAAGGUUCACAGGCAGGAGUUACAGCAGCUAUCUGGAGUGGAUGACAGAAUGGCUGCUUGAGAGGCACCGGAUAUUUUAAUGGUGAAGACUUAUGCAGAGGCUGUAUUUCACUUACCAUCAGAUCAUGCGUAGAACUACAUGUUCAGAGAGGAUUGUUGGAACCUCAGUAACAGCAGUUUCAUUGAUGUAGAAGAGCAGAAGUCAUUUGGAAGUGAUCCAAGAAAGAGACGGAAGAAAGAGAAUGAAGCUG